rnacentral:rRNA from 1 species
ACGGAAGGCAGCAGUGAGGAAUAUUGGUCAAUGGGCGGAAGCCUGAACCAGCCAAGUCGCGUGAAGGAUGAAGGUAUUAUGUAUUGUAAACUUCUUUAGACGCAGAGAAAUAAGCACCUCGUGAGGUGUGAUGCUAGUAUGCGUAGAAUAAGGAUCGGCUAACUCCGUGCCAGCAGCCGCGGUAAUACGGAGGAUCCGAGCGUUAUCCGGAUUUAUUGGGUUUAAAGGGUGCGCAGGCGGCGCUUUAAGUCAGUGGUCAAAUCGUGGAGCUCAACUCCAUCCCGCCAUUGAUACUGGGGCGCUUGAUUGCGGUUGAGGUAGGCGGAAUUCGUCGUGUAGCGGUGAAAUGCAUAGAUAUGACGAAGAACCCCGAUUGCGUAGGCAGCUUACCAAGCCGUAAAUGACGCUCAUGCACGAAAGUGCGGGGAUCGAACAGGAUUAGAUACCCUGGUA